AACGAACGCUGGCGGCAGGCUUAACACAUGCAAGUCGAGCGCCCCGCAAGGGGAGCGGCAGACGGGUGAGUAACGCGUGGGAAUCUACCCAUCCCUACGGAAUAGCUCCGGGAAACUGGAAUUAAUACCGUAUACGCCCUACGGGGGAAAGAUUUAUCGGGGAUGGAUGAGCCCGCGUUGGAUUAGCUAGUUGGUGGGGGAAAGGCCUACCAAGGCGACGAUCCAUAGCUGGUCUGAGAGGAUGAUCAGCCACAUUGGGACUGAGACACGGCCCAAACUCCUACGGGAGGCAGCAGUGGGGAAUAUUGGACAAUGGGGGCAACCCUGAUCCAGCCAUGCCGCGUGAGUGAUGAAGGCCUUAGGGUUGUAAAGCUCUUUCACCGGGGAAGAUAAUGACGGUACCCGGAGAAGAAGCCCCGGCUAACUUCGUGCCAGCCGCCGCCUAAAAC
rnacentral:rRNA from 1 species